UACGUAGGGGGCUAGCGUUGUCCGGAAUCAUUGGGCGUAAAGCGUGUGUAGGCGGUCCGGUAAGUCCGCUGUGAAAGUCGGGGGGCUCAACCCUCGGAUGCCGGUGGAUACUGUCGGGCUUGAGUACGGAAGAGGCGAGUGGAAUUCCUGGUGUAGCGGUGAAAUGCGCAGAUAUCAGGAGGAACACCAAUUGCGAAGGCAGCUCGCUGGGACGUUACUGACGCUGAGACGCGAAAGCGUGGGUAGCAAACAGG
rnacentral:rRNA from 1 species